rnacentral:rRNA from 1 species
UGGGGAUAUUGGACAAUGGGCGCAAGCCUGAUCCAGCAAUGCCGCGUGUGUGAAGAAGGCCUUCGGUUGUAAAGCACUUUAUCGGGAGCGCGGUACCCGAGGAAUAAGCACCGGCUAACUUCGUGCCAGCAGCCGCGGUAAUACGAAGGGUGCAAGCGUUAAUCGGAAUUACUGGGCGUAAAGGGUGCGUAGGCGGUUACCUAAGUCCGUUGUGAAAGCCCUGGGCUCAACCUGGGAAUUGCAGUGGAUACUGGGUGACUGGAGUACGGUAGAGGAUGGCGGAAUUCCCGGUGUAGCAGUGAAAUGCGUAGAGAUCGGGAGGAACAUCAGUGGCGAAGGCGGCCAUCUGGACCAGUACUGACGCUGAGGCACGAAAGCGUGGGGAGCAAACAGGAUUAGAUACCCUGGUAGU